AGAUGCGAUAGGGGANCCNAGUGCGCAGGCAUAGAGCCUGCGCUUUUCUGAACCCUAAGGAGGUACCAGAAUAAGGGCUGGGCAAGACCGGUGCCAGCCGCCGCGGUAAUACCGGCAGCCCGAGUGAUGGCCGAUCUUAUUGGGCCUAAAGCGUCCGUAGCUGGCCGCGCAAGUCCAUCGGAAAAUCCACCCGCUCAACGGGUGGCCGACCGGUGGAAACUGCACGGCUUGGGACCGGAAGGCGCGACGGGUACGUCCGGGGUAGGAGUGAAAUCCCGUAAUCCCGAACGGACCGCCGAUGGCGAAAGCACGUCGCGAAAACGGAUCCGACAGUGAGGGACGAAAGCCAGGGUCUCGAACCGGAUUAGAUACCCGGGUAGUCCUGGCCGUAAACAAUGUCUGCUAGGUGUGGCUCCCGCUACGAGCGGGUGCUGUGCCGCAGGGAAGCCGCUAAGCAGACCGCCUGGGAAGUACGUCCGCAAGGAUGAAACUUAAAGGAUUGGGGGGGAAAACAAAAA
rnacentral:rRNA from 1 species